rnacentral:rRNA from 1 species
GACGAACGCUGGCGGCGUGCUUAACACAUGCAAGUGGAGCGACGAACCAGGGCUUGCCCUGGGGCAGAGCCGCGAACGGGUGAGUAACACGUGGGUAACGUGCCCCGAUGAUCGGGACAACCCGGGGAAACCCGGGCUAAUACCGAAUGUGCUCCCCUCACACCAGUGAGGGAUGGAAAGGAAGCUUCGGCCUCCGCAUCGGGAUCGGCCCGCGGCCCAUUAGCUUGUUGGUGAGGUAACGGCUCACCAAGGCUGCGAUGGGUAGCUGGUCUGAGAGGACGAUCAGCCACACUGGGACUGAGACACGGCCCAGACUCCUACGGGAGGCAGCAGUGGGGAAUCUUGCGCAAUGCGCGAAAGCGUGACGCAGCAACGCCGC